ensembl:lncRNA
GAGAAACAGGAGCGGAGCCUCAGGGGGCAUUUCCUGGGGAGGAGGCCCAGGGGAGGUGGAGGAGGCCCUUGGGCAGGCUGGGACUGGCCAGGACACCACAGGGUUGCCAGGUGACAGACAACAGCGUGCCGAGCAGCUCCGGGGUGCACUGUGCCUCCUCCCAGGGAGGUUCCUCUCCGUGCCCCCCGGCCAUCACAGCGCAGGCAGCUGAGCCCGGCUGCAUCCCGCUUGGGACGUUCACUCUGAAGCGUAAUGAGGACCUUGAGCCUUCUGGAGCAGAGCUCUGCAACCCGGGGCACCCCAUCCCUGUCCCCCCCCCAGCAGCGCAGUGCUGGGACGUAUGGCAGAGCCUGCAGUGCCUCUCCUGACACUGUCGAUGUCCGUGGGACGGCCGUGACUCCCGCUGAGGGCAGAGCUCUGGCUGCAGAUCCCAGCUUGGGAGGCUCCAGAUUUGCUGCUCCCCACGCAAGGAUGGUGGAACGCGGAGCGUGGAGCUGCUGGGGGCCACAGUGGGGCAGCAGGAGCAGCUCCAGCUCUGUGUGCACCGAGGAUGUGGCUGCCAGGUGUUGGGAGGGCACAGUGGGGACCUCCGAGGAGGAGGAGGAGGAGGAGGAUGGCAGCGGGCAGGAUGGGGCCCCGCUCCUGUGGCAGUGCCCCUGGCAGGACAUGUCCCCAGGGCUGAUGAGGAGGGGGAGUCUGGAGUCGCUGGGAGCCAGGAUAUCCAGGCUGAGCCAGAGUGGGGCUGUGACCCCCUGCCCGGCCCCCUCCGGGCACCCAGCGCAGGGCAGGGGGGAUGCAUCCCACUGGGGCUCAAGCUCCAGGGCAAAGCCCUCAGUCACCACUGUGCAUGGUGGGGAUGGGGACGCUGGACAUCUCCGGAGACCCUCAGGCAGCUCAGCCAGCAGGAGCAGGGCCAGGGCCAUGGGACACUGCAGAUGGCAGGAGCCACCAGCACGCCGGGGGUGGCAUGGAGGGGACGUCACCCUCACUGCAGAGAAGGAAGGAGAUGGCGACGGGCGGAGGAGAGCUCUCUGCACCAAAGCAGCAGUGGGACCCACCAGGAGAUGCAGCCCCUGGGCAGAGGGGCAGCACGAGGUGUCCUGCCCAGGGCAUGCAGCCAAGCCCCGGUGGCAGCGUUGGAAGCAGAAGGCCAUCCUGUCCCAUAGGCUGGCAGCGCUGCGCCGGGCCCUGAGGAGCAGCCAGGAGGGGAUGCAGGAGCCAGGAGCUGGAGCUCAGGGCAUGCAGAGCGAUGGGGAUGGGGCCAGGGCACGUGCGUGGGAUUGUGUGGAUGUGGAGGAGGUGCAGGGGCAGAAGGGCUGUGCUGAACGCCCAGGGAAGGUGAGGAGGAAAACGUUGGAUCUCAGAGAAGAGAAGAGGGAGCUGCAGGAGAGGCUCUGUGGGUUGGAGCUCCAGAUGCUCUCCAUGCUGCGGCAGAGGCAGGAGGCCCUGGGGCAGCUGCGGGCAGUGCUGCAGAAGGAGAGGAUGGCCACACUCAGGCAGCUGCAGGAGAGCCUGGAGAAGAACUGUCACCCAGAGGAGCUGGCAGCCCCAGGAGCCCUGAAGGAGCCACUGACCCCAGAGAGAGCCCUGCGGGAGGCAGCGACGUGUGUGUGGGAUCCAGCCCGGCCACCAUCUCCUUCCCCUUCUACACCUGGGUUGAGCCAUGCCACAGCAGCAGCAGCACACGGCGCUGGGGAUCCUGCACCACAUCCAGCGCUGCCUGCGGGAGCUGCAAGUAGAGGACCUCGGUGUGCUGGGAGCAGAGCUGGGCACCACAGCAAAUGAGGAGGUAUGGGGACGGCCCAAGACAAGGGACUUGCCCACUGCCACUGCCUCACCCACUGGAUAAAUCCAGAGUAUGAGGUGCUCCGCCACUGAGUGCUCCAAGGGAUGCUCAGCCUGGUGGGAGCAGUCCCACAGCAGGGCUCAGGGCCCUGUGGUUUUCUUUCUAACCCAGGGACCUCAGGUAGAUCCUAUCACCACCAUAUGGGGUUGGGGACAUUGGGCUUAUCUGUGGAGGGCUGAAGGUGGGAGGGGACCUGCUGGUGGGAAGGGAUCUGCUAUGGGAAGGCCAUAGGGUUCCUCAGGAGUCCUCACCUGCAUUUUCUCAGAUGAAGAAUGGGGUUCUUAUGCGCCUCUCUCACUCUGCAGCAUCUCCUCAGCCUCCCAUCUCCCACCCAGGGAUACAGCCAUGGGACAAACCUCAAAGGCAAACUGGAUGUGGUGCUUCCCUUUCUGUUCCAGCACGUUUUCAUGGGUUGUGGCUUUCUCCUAGAGGUUCCUGAUGCCACCUCUUGACAUUCCUCCAAGCCCCAACAGGAACAAGCUCGCUGCUGCGACCAGGACUCGAGAUGAAGCAUGGAGGUGGUGAUGCAUCCCUCUACCUCCCUAUGCAUACCCAGGUCGACCAGUUGUGAAGCUGCUGAACGGGUCCCACGGAAUUUCCCAUGUAGAAGCUUCUCUUAGGUCCUGGCUGGGCUCCUUCCAAGGGCUGGGGACCGCGGGACAGCAUUUUGGGUGCGAUGGGUGAGGUCACGUGCCUCCACCAGGCUGCUGUCCAAGGUCCUGCCGGGAGAACCUGGAUUCCCUACCAGCAUCUUUGCUCCUCACACUCAUUUAGGAGCUUGGAAUGGAGAGGUCCAUGUUGCAGGGGUGGUCUCUCAGUGGGGUGGGAAUGAAGGUUUUGGGUUGGGGUGAGAUAUAGAGAAGUAGAUGGGGAGUAAGGGCUGGGGGAAAUCUCGUGCCUUCCCAGGUCUGGUUGGCUGGGCCACGCACAUCGGGAGUGCUUUGGGAUGGCUGUGGGCAGAAACACUUCAGGAAAAAAAGAAGUUUAAAAAUGAGGAAUUGUUCUACUUAGGAGCUCUCAAAUAAUUUUAAAGAGGAGAAACCUAUUUCUCAGUCUUCACACAUCUCAAUGGAGAAAAUGCUGUUUUUAAUUUGCAGGAGAAUGCCCAAGGAGAGUUUCUCUGCAUGCGAGGGGGGAAAUGAGAAUUUCAUGCAGUACUGAUUGCUGCACUUCCUUGCUGGAGGAGGCAGGGAGUGAAAAUGGAAAUCUUUGUCUGCUUUCUUCCCAAUCAAAAUAAAAAUGUUCCUCAUUAUAUUUUUCUGGACUGGGGAGAUUUCUGAAUUUACUUCUGAUGCACAGCUCUGUUUGUAAGCUCCCUUUAGGUAGUGGAAGGCCACAGUGAGGUCUUCCCAGGUCCUUCUCUUCACCAGGAUACCCAAAAAUGUGAUUUUUCUGCCUUACCUCAUGCUUGCAACCUUUGGGAUGCUGAUGCAACCUUGAAAUCACCCAGUGUAAUGCAAGUCCCUAUGGAAGGCAAUGCAAGAUCCUUGAAACAGGUGUUGUUUAACAUACCUAAAACUGGAUGAAAUAC